GGGCCCGUAGCCCAGCCAGGAUUAGGGCGUUGAAGUUAAUGCGUAGGCCUCCGGAGCCGAAGGUCGUGGGUUCGAAUCCCACCGGGCCCG
rnacentral:tRNA from 2 species